rnacentral:rRNA from 1 species
UACGUAGGGGCCAAGCGUUGUCCGGAUUUAUUGGGCGUAAAGAGCUCGUAGGCGGUGUGUCGCGUCGGUCGUGAAAACUUGGGGCUUAACCCUGAGCUUGCGGUCGAUACGGGCAUCACUGGAGUUCGGCAGGGGAGACUGGAAUUCCUGGUGUAGCGGUGAAAUGCGCAGAUAUCAGGAGGAACACCGGUGGCGAAGGCGGGUCUCUGGGCCGAUACUGACGCUGAGGAGCGAAAGCGUGGGGAGCGAACAGG